UACGUUGUGUUUAUUUUUGUG
rnacentral:piRNA from 1 species